UGUGGCCAGCAAUUUUGAAUCUUAUUGC
rnacentral:piRNA from 1 species